AGAGCAUAGAGGUGAAAGUCCAGCAUCCAAGGAGAAGCUCAUUCAGAAAGCAAGAUGUAUUAUUUUACUUCCUGCACAGAUGACCAUCUCCUGAACUAAUGCUUGCAAUUUCAGUGCCACACUAAGGAUAUUCUUUGGUUUUAGGCAAGGACUAUUUGCUAUGAAUUAUGUGAUUAUUUUUUAUUUGUGCUACAGAUGAAAUAACGUAUUUCCAUCAGAAUUUAAACAGGUGUGAAGAUGCAAGAAAGACCCUGUGUCCUGAGCAGAGAAAUGGAAAACCAACUCAGCUGCAACGUCCCCGCCAUCCCACUUUUGCCUUUUGAGUUUCAAAACCAAAAACAAUGAUUUUAAGUUAAGGUGGAUCUCAAGUCAGACAGCACCUGGAGUCCUCUUGACAAGUUCGAUUGAUUGCAGCAGAAAUGAGAAGGAAAGCUGUAAACAAGCUGCCAUUGAUUGCUGGAGUGGCAUUGGCUUCACAGGGAACUUGAAGUAACAUCAGGUUUGGGAACUGCAGCCACACGAAAUAACAAAGAACAACGGAUGUCUGCAUUUCUGAAGGGUUUGGAUUGAACUUUUACAAGCAUUGGAUUGUGCAUCAGCCGUUGCAGAAGCACCAUUCCUCAUUUUCUGUGGAGAAAGAAACAGCAGCAUUUCAUGUUCACCUGGAUGUCACACCUGGAGCUGGGAUGCCCCAGUGCUACCAUCUCACAGUGCUCUGCCAAUGGGACUGCGGGCAGUGCAUGCUGCCAGCAGCUGCUCACAUUGCACGGAAGGAACCUUUGCACCUCAUGGGAGCACGGACAGGAGUGUGUCCCACUGUGUCCCUGCCUCCUGCCCAGCUGGGUCAGUGGUGCUUUGAAGCUGGUCCGUGUAUUGGUGGUAGCUGGGCUGCUCUCCUUGUGCUGCUGAAGACUGAUCCAGGCUCAUGUCCCUGCUCAUUGCAGGGGAGCUGGACUGGAUGGCUUUUAAAGGUUCUUUCCAACUCCAAGGAUUCCAUGAUUCUCUGAUUGAGUACUUGAUACAACACUGCUUCCCUGGGGUAAAGUUAAACUCAUUUGUUCCAACUUUCUCAUUAGCUUACAAAAGCACUUUUCUCUCAUUCAUUCACACCUAAAUAUUGCACUGCUGUCUUUACAGCUGCAGGAAUGCCCAUUGCCUCUCUGACCAUUGUCCCUGCUGACAGUGCCUGUGCCCCAUCUCCCCAGACACGGUCACGCUCUACCCCCUGGUGAAACAGAAGGGCACCCACCUCUGUGUGUGUGAGGGAGAGGGCUGUGACAAAUUUCAUUUGGAUGUGAUUCAAUGAAUAAAGUACGAGGCGAUGUGCCCAGAGUGACUCAUCUGUGUGCAUAGCUGCUGGCUCCAUGGGUCUGAUGGCCGAGGGCUUUCUUGGUGAGAUGAAGUGUGAAUGCCUCCUUAGGCACGAGGCAGUAACUGCCAUGCCCAGGGUGAGGAAGCCCACUUCUGCACAGCUGCUCAUGGGCCACAGCUGGACAGCUGUGUUGUUAAAGACACAGGAAGUCUUUUUCACUGUUCCUUUAGACAUGGGAACAGGCCACAAGCUGUCCCAGUUUCCCAUUGAAGGAAGAGCUGAGGUUUGGUGUGUGCCCAGUGGUGCCCGGUGGGAGCAGAGCUACACCAUUGGGCUGAGCCGCUUUGGGGAAUGGUGUUUAUUUUUCAUUUGGAGGGAUUUUUCCAUGUCUUCUACCCCAUGAUUAAAAGCACAGCCAGUUGCACAUCUGGUUUGCAAGGUCAGAUGCAGAACCAUCAAAAUAUUACAAGAAAGACUAUUGCAAGGUUUUAAAUUUUCCCCUGCCAAAGCUGAUAUUGGAAGGAAUACUUCAUGAAAGCCCCCUCGUGUGACAUUUCUAGCUAGAAUCAGAGAUCAAAGACCUAUUCCAUUUUCAGACUCAGGUCUUGCAUUAAAAUGUUAACCUUUUUUUUAAUGUUUCACCAUUGUAUUUGAAAUCUGGUAUAGGAGUUCAGCCGGCACAGAACAUUUCUUAGUAAGAUAUUGUAGGAAACGAUUGAUUUUUUUCUGCAGAGAAGUUCAGCUUGUAUUAGUGAGCUGCUGGGUCAUUUGGCAAAGAAAGUUCUGGGAAAAUGACAGGUCAGAAGAACUGAUGAAGCCUGGAAAGGCACGAAGCGCAGCAGCUCCUGUUCACGGGCAACUGGAAGUGAGAAGAAUUUCUUGUAUGCCUCACUGUUAUUAAAAUAUCAAGUAUCCUUAGCUGCCAAU
ensembl:lncRNA